rnacentral:rRNA from 1 species
AUUGAACGCUGGCGGCAGGCCUAACACAUGCAAGUCGAACGAGUGGCGGACGGGUGAGUAAUGUCUGGGAAACUGCCUGAUGGAGGGGGAUAACUACUGGAAACGGUAGCUAAUACCGCAUACCAUCAGAUGUGCCCAGCUGGGAUUAGCUUGUUGGUGGGGUAAUGGCUCACCAAGGCGACGAUCCCUAGCUGGUUUGAGAGGAUGACCAGCCACACGGGAACUUAGACACGGUCCAUACUCCUACGGGAGGCAGCAGUGGGGAAUAUUGCACAAUGGGGGCAAGCCUGAUCCAGCCAUGCCGCGUGUAUGAAGAAGGCCUUCGGGUUGUAAAGUACUUUCAGCGGGGAGGCGUUACCUGCAGAAGAAGCACCGGCUAACUACGUGCCAGCAGCCGCGGUAAUUC